rnacentral:rRNA from 1 species
AGUACAGACGAGUUUGAUCCUGGCUCAGAUUGAACGCUGGCGGCAUGCUUUACACAUGCAAGUCGAACGGUAACAGGCCUUCGGGUGCUGACGAGUGGCGAACGGGUGAGUAAUGCAUCGGAACAUACCCAGUCGGUGGGGGAUAACGUAGCGAAAGUUACGCUAAUACCGCAUACGUCCUGAGGGAGAAAGCGGGGGAUCGCAAGACCUCGCGCGAUUGGAGUGGCCGAUGUCAGAUUAGCUAGUUGGUGGGGUAAAGGCCCACCAAGGCGACGAUCUGUAGCGGGUCUGAGAGGAUGAUCCGCCACACUGGGACUGAGACACGGCCCAGACUCCUACGGGAGGCAGCAGGUGGGGAAUUUUGGACAAUGGGGGAAACCCUGAUCCAGCCAUGCCGCGUGCGGGAAGAAGGCCUUCGGGUUGUAAACCGCUUUCAGCCGGAAAGAAAUCGCACGGACCAAUACUCUGUGUGGAUGACGGUACCGGAAGAAGAAGCACCGGCUAACUACGUG